UGGGGAAUAUUGGGCAAUGGGCGGAAGCCUGAUCCAGCCAUGCCGCGUGUGUGAAGAAGGCGUUUUGGUUGUAAAGCACUUUAAGCGAGGAGGAGGAUACGGAGACUAAUACUCUUGGACAGUGGAGGUUCCUCGCAGAAUAAGCACCGCCUAAUUCCUGCG
rnacentral:rRNA from 1 species